GACGAACACUGGCGGCGUGCUUAACACAUGCAAGUCGAACGGUAAGGCCCUUCGGGGUACACGAGUGGCGAACGGGUGAGUAACACGUGGGUGAUCUGCCCUGCACUUCGGGAUAAGCCUGGGAAACUGGGUCUAAUACCGGAUAGGACCACUGCCUGCAUGGGUGGUGGUGGAAAGCUUUUGCGGUGUGGGAUGGGCCCGCGGCCUAUCAGCUUGUUGGUGGGGGGAUGGCCUACCAAGGCGACGACGGGUAGCCGGCCUGAGAGGGUGACCGGCCACACUGGGACUGGGAUACGGCCCAGACUCCUACGGGAGGCAGCAGUGGGGAAUAUUGCACAAUGGGCGCAAGCCUGAUGCAGCGACGCCGCGUGAGGGAUGACGGCCUUCGGGUUGUAAACCUCUUUCAGCACCGACGAAGCGCAAGUGACGGUAGGUGCAGAAGAAGGACCGGCCAACUACGUGCCAGCCGCCGCGGUAA
rnacentral:rRNA from 1 species